rnacentral:rRNA from 1 species
AUACGGAGGAUCCGAGCGUUAUCCGGAUUUAUUAGGUUUAAAGGGUGCGCAGGCGGCCAUUUAAGUCAGCGGUUAAAUCGUGGGGCUCAACCCCAUUCUGCCGUUGAUACUGGGUGGCUUGAUUGCGGUCGAGGUUGGCGGAAUUCGUUGUGUAGCGGUGAAAUGCAUAGAUAUGACGAAGAACACCGAUUGCGUAGGCAGCUGACCAGAUCGCAAAUGACGCUCAUGCACGAAAGUGCGGGGAUCGAACAGGAUUAGAUACCCUGGUAGUCCGCACAGUAAACGAUGAAUACUUGUUUUCGGCGAUAUAAUGUCGGAGGCAAAGCGAAAGCGAUAAGUAUUCCACCUGGGGAGUACGCCGGCAACGGUGAAACUCAAAUGAAUUGGCGGG